AGUGAACGCUGGCGGUAGGCCUAACACAUGCAAGUCGAGCGGCCGCACAGUAAGAGCUUGCUCUUACGGUUGGCGACUGGCGGACGGGUGAGGAAUACAUCGGCAUCUACUUUUACGUGGGGGAUAACGUGGGGACACUUACGCUACUACCUCAUACGACCUACGGGAGAAAGCAGUGGUUCUUCGCACCUUUCGCGUUUGAUAUAGCCGAUUUCGGAUAGCUAGUUGGCGGGGUAAAGGCACACCAAGGCAACGAUCCGUAGCUGGUCUGAGAGGAUGAUCAGCCACACUGGAACUGAGACACGGUCCAGACUCCUACGGGAGGCAGCAGUAGGGAAUAUUGGACAAUGGGCGAAAGCCUGAUCCAGCCAUACCGCGUGAGUGAAGAAGGCCUUCGGAUUGUAAAGCCCUGUUGUUGGGAAAGAACAGCAGCAGGUUAAUACACCGCUGUUCUGACGGUACCCAAAGAAUAAGCACCGGCUAACUUCGUG
rnacentral:rRNA from 1 species